rnacentral:rRNA from 1 species
UACGUAGGGUGCGAGCGUUAAUCGGAAUUACUGGGCGUAAAGCGUGCGCAGGCGGUUUUGUAAGCCAGAUGUGAAAUCCCCGGGCUUAACCUGGGAAUGGCAUUUGGGACUGCAAGGCUCGAGUGCGGCAGAGGAGACUGGAAUUCCUGGUGUAGCAGUGAAAUGCGUAGAUAUCAGGAGGAACACCGAUGGCGAAGGCAGGUCUCUGGGCUGACACUGACGCUCAUGCGCGAAAGCGUGGGGAGCAAACAGG